rnacentral:rRNA from 1 species
UACAGAGGUCCCAAGCGUUGUUCGGAUUCACUGGGCGUAAAGGGUGCGUAGGCGGUCGGGUAAGUCUGAUGUGAAAUCUCACAGCUUAACUGUGAAACUGCAUUGGAUACUAUCCGGCUCGAGGAAUGGAGGGGAGACUGGAAUACUUGGUGUAGCAGUGAAAUGCGUAGAUAUCAAGUGGAACACCAGUGGCGAAGGCGGCUCACUGGACCACAACUGACGCUGAGGCGCGAAAGCUAGGGGAGCAAACAGG